CGACCGGCGCACGGGUGAGUAACACGUAUCCAACCCGCCGUCUACUCUUGGCCAGCCUUCUGAAAGGAAGAUUAAUCCAGGAUGGGAUCAUGAGUUCACAUGUCCGCAUGAUUAAAGGUAUUUUCCGGUAGACGAUGGGGAUGCGUUCCAUUAGAUAGUAGGCGGGGUAACGGCCCACCUAGUCAACGAUGGAUAGGGGUUCUGAGAGGAAGGUCCCCCACAUUGGAACUGAGACACGGUCCAA
rnacentral:rRNA from 1 species